rnacentral:rRNA from 1 species
CCUACGGGUUGCAGCAGUGGGGAAUAUUGCACAAUGGGCGCAAGCCUGAUGCAGCAACGCCGUGUGAGUGAAGAAGGCCUUCGGGUCGUAAAACUCUGUCCUAUGGGAAGAAAAAAAUGACGGUACCAUAGGAGGAAGCCCCGGCUAACUACGUGCCAGCAGCCGCGGUAAUACGUAGGGGGCAAGCGUUAUCCGGAAUCACUGGGCGUAAAGGGUGCGUAGGCGGCUAAGCAAGCCAGGGGUGAAAGGCAUUGGCUCAACCAAUGUAAGCCUUUGGAACUGUUUGGCUUGAGUGCAGGAG